GACGAACGCUGGCGGCGUGCCUAAUACAUGCAAGUCGAACGCAGUGGGGACGGGUGAGUAACCCGUGGGUAACCUCCCAUCAGAGGGGAUAACACUUGGAAACAGGUGCUAAACCGAUACUGAUUGAUGGACCCGCGGUGCAUUAGCUAGUUGGUGAGGUAACGGCUCACCAAGGCCACGAUGCAUAGCCGACCUGAGAGGGUGAUAGGCCACACUGGGACUGAGACAGGGCCCAUACUCCUACGUGAGGGAGCAGAAGGCAAUCUUCGGCAAUGGACGAAAGUCUGACCGGGCAACGCAGCGUGAGUGAAGAAGGUUUUCGGUGCGUAAAACUCUGUUGUUAGAGAAGCGGUAUCUAACCAGAAAGCCCCGGCUAACUACGUGCCAGCAGCCGCGGUAAUAC
rnacentral:rRNA from 1 species